rnacentral:rRNA from 1 species
GGGACACGUGGUAUCCUGUCUGAAUAUGGGGGGACCAUCCUCCAAGGCUAAAUACUCCUGACUGACCGAUAGUGAACCAGUACCGUGAGGGAAAGGCGAAAAGAACCCCGGCGAGGGGAGUGAAAAAGAACCUGAAACCGUGUACGUACAAGCAGUGGGAGCACCUUCGGGUGUGACUGCGUACCUUUUGUAUAAUGGGUCAGCGACUUAUAUUCUGUAGCAAGGUUAACCGUAUAGGGGAGCCGCAGGGAAACCGAGUCUUAACUGGGCGUUAAGUUGCAGGGUAUAGACCCGAAACCCGGUGAUCUAGCCAUGGGCAGGUUGAAGGUUGGGUAACACUAACUGGAGGACCGAACCGACUAAUGUUGAAAAAUUAGCGGAUGACUUGUGGCUGGGGGUGAAAGGCCAAUCAAACCGGGAGAUAGCUGGUUCUCCCCGAAAGCUAUUUAGGUAGCGCCUCGUGAACUCAUCUUCGGGGGUAGAGCACUGUUUCGGCUAGGGGGUCAUCCCGACUUACCAACCCGAUGCAAACUACGAAUACCGAAGAAUGUUAUCACGGGAGACACACGGCGGGUGCUAACGUCCGUCGUGAAGAGGGAAACAACCCAGACCGCCAGCUAAGGUCCCAAAGUCAUGGUUAAGUGGGAAACGAUGUGGGAAGGCACAGACAGCCAGGAUGUUGGCUUAGAAGCAGCCAUCAUUUAAAGAAAGCGUAAUAGCUCACUGGUCGAGUCGGCCUGCGCGGAAGAUGUAACGGGGCUAAACCAUGCACCGAAGCUGCGGCAGCGACACUAUGUGUUGUUGGGUAGGGGAGCGUUCUGUAAGCCUGCGAAGGUGACCUGUGAGGGUUGCUGGAGGUAUCAGAAGUGCGAAUGCUGACAUAAGUAACGAUAAAGCGGGUGAAAAGCCCGCUCGCCGGAAGACCAAGGGUUCCUGUCCAACGUUAAUCGGGGCAGGGUGAGUCGACCCCUAAGGCGAGGCCGAAAGGCGUAGUCGAUGGGAAACAGGUUAAUAUUCCUGUACUUGGUGUUACUGCGAAGGGGGGACGGAGAAGGCUAUGUUAGCCGGGCGACGGUUGUCCCGGUUUAAGCAUGUAGGCUGGUUGUCCAGGCAAAUCCGGAUAAUCAAGGCUGAGGUGUGAUGACGAGGCACUACGGUGCUGAAGUAACAAAUGCCCUGCUUCCAGGAAAAGCCUCUAAGCAUCAGGUAACAU